rnacentral:rRNA from 1 species
AGAGUUUGAUCAUGGCUCAGGACGAACGCUGGCGGCGUGCUUAACACAUGCAAGUCGGACGGAAAGGCCCUUCGGGGUACUCGAGUGGCGAACGGGUGAGUAACACGUGGGUGAUCUGCCCUGCACUUUGGGAUAAGCCUGGGAAACUGGGUCUAAUACCGAAUAGGACCGCAUGCUUCAUGGUGUGUGGUGCAAAGCUUUUGCGGUGUGGGAUGAGCCCGCGGCCUAUCAGCUUGUUGGUGGGGUAAUGGCCUACCAAGGCGACGACGGGUAGCCGGCCUGAGAGGGUGACCGGCCACACUGGGACUGAGAUACGGCCCAGACUCCUACGGGAGGCAGCAGUGGGGAAUAUUGCACAAUGGGCGCAAGCCUGAUGCAGCGACGCCGCGUGAGGGAUGACGGCCUUCGGGUUGUAAACCUCUUUCAGUAGGGACGAAGCGAAAGUGACGGUACCUACAGAAGAAGGACCGGCCAACUACGUGCCAGCAGCCGCGGUAAUACGUAGGGUCCGAGCGUUGUCCGGAAUUACUGGGCGUAAAGAGCUCGUAGGUGGUUUGUCGCGUUGUUCGUGAAAACUCACAGCUUAACUGUGGGCGUGCGGGCGAUACGGGCAGACUAGAGUACUGCAGGGGAGACUGGAAUUCCUGGUGUAGCGGUGGAAUGCGCAGAUAUCAGGAGGAACACCGGUGGCGAAGGCGGGUCUCUGGGCAGUAACUGACGCUGAGGAGCGAAAGCGUGGGUAGCGAACAGGAUUAGAUACCCUGGUAGUCCAA